AGAUUGAACGCUGGCGGCAUGCUUUACACAUGCACGUCGAACGGCAGCGGGGGCUUCGGCCUGCCGGCGAGUGGCGAACGGGUGAGUAAUACAUCGGAACGUGUCCUUAAGUGGGGAAUAACGCAUCGAAAGAUGUGCUAAUACCGCAUAUCUCUGAGGAGAAAAGCAGGGGAUCGCAAGACCUUGCGCUAAAGGAGCGGCCGAUGUCUGAUUAGCUAGUUGGUGGGGUAAAGGCUUACCAAGGCAACGAUCAGUAGUUGGUCUGAGAGGACGGCCAACCACACUGGGACUGAGACACGGCCCAGACUCCUACGGGAGGCAGCAGUGGGGAAUUUUGGACAAUGGGCGAAAGCCUGAUCCAGCCAUGCCGCGUGAGUGAAGAAGGCCUUCGGGUUAUAAAGCUCUUUUAGUCGGAAAGAAAGAGUUGCAAUGAAUAAUUGUGAUUUAUGACGGUACCGACAGAAAAAGCACCGGCUAACUACGUGCCAGCAGCCGCGGUAAUACGUAGGGUGCGAGCGUUAAUCGGAAUUACUGGGCGUAAAGGGUGUGCAGGCGGUCUUGCAAGUCAGAUGUGAAAGCCCCGGGCUUAACCUGGGAAUUGCGUUUGAAACUACAAGGCUAGAGUGCAGCAGAGGGGAGUGGAAUUCCAUGUGUAGCAGUGAAAUGCGUAGAGAUGUGGAAGAACACCGAUGGCGAAGGCAGCUCCCUGGGUUGACACUGACGCUCAUGCACGAAAGCGUGGGGAGCCAACAGGAAUAGAUACCCUGGUAGUCCCCGCCCUAAACGAUGGCCACUUAUUGCCGGAACCUAAUAAGGAUUUGGUAACGUAGCUAACCCGUCAACUUGACCGCCUGGGGAGUAGGCCCCCAGAUUAAAACCCAAAGGAAUUGACGGGGAUCGCACAAGCGGUGGAUUAUGGGGAUUAAUUUUAGGCAACGCGAAAAACCUUAACUACCCUUGACCUGCUUGGAAUCUAAGGGAGACAAAAGAGUGCCCGAA
rnacentral:rRNA from 1 species